CCAGGCUGAGGUAGUAGGUUGUAUAGUUUAGAGUUACAACAAGGGAGAUAACUGUACAGCCUCCUAGCUUUCCUUG
rnacentral:pre_miRNA from 14 species